GCCUUCAUGAUGUAGUGGUCAGCACGCUCGAUGUGUAACCAAGAGGUCCGUGGUUCGAUUCCCGGCGAAGGCG
rfam:Stegodyphus mimosarum contig100283, whole genome shotgun sequence.